rnacentral:rRNA from 1 species
AUUGAACGCUGGCGGCAGGCCUAACACAUGCAAGUCGAACGGUAGCACAGAGAGCUUACUCUCGGGUGACGAGUGGCGGACGGGUGAGUAAUGUCUGGGAAACUGCCCGAUGGAGGGGGAUAACUACUGGAAACGGUAGCUAAUACCGCAUAACGUCGCAAGACCAAAGUGGGGGACCUUCGGGCCUCACACCAUCGGAUGUGCCAAGAUGGGAUUAGCUAGUAGGUGGGGUAAUGGCUCACCUAGGCGACGAUCCCUAGCUGGUCUGAGAGGAUGACCAGCCACACUGGAACUGAGACACGGUCCAGACUCCUACGGGAGGCAGCAGUGGGGAAUAUUGCACAAUGGGCGCAAGCCUGAUGCAGCCAUGCCGCGUGUAUGAAGAAGGCCUUCGGGUUGUAAAGUACCUUCAGCGGGGAGGAAGGCGGUGGAGUUAAUAACUUCACCGAUUGACGUUACCCGCAGAAGAAGCACCGGCUAACUCCGUGCCAGCCGCCGCAGUAA